rnacentral:rRNA from 1 species
AAUAGAUACCCUGGUAGUCCACGCCGUAAACGAUGAGUGCUAAGUGUUAGGGGUUUCCGCCCCUUAGUGCUGCAGCUAACGCAUUAAGCACUCCGCCUGGGGAGUACGGUCGCAAGACUGAAACUCAAAGGAAUUGACGGGGGCCCGCACAAGCGGUGGAGCAUGUGGUUUAAUUCGAAGCAACGCGAAGAACCUUACCAGGUCUUGACAUCCCACUGACCGCUAUGGAGACAUAGUUUUCCCUUCGGGGACAGUGGUGACAGGUGGUGCAUGGUUGUCGUCAGCUCGUGUCGUGAGAUGUUGGGUUAAGUCCCGCAACGAGCGCAACCCUUGAUUUUAGUUGCCAUCAUUUAGUUGGGCACUCUAAGGUGACUGCCGGUGACAAACCGGAGGAAGGUGGGGAUGACGUCAAAUCAUCAUGCCCCUUAUGACCUGGGCUACACACGUGCUACAAUGGACGGUACAAACGGUUGCCAACCCGCGAGGGGAGCUAAUCCGAUAAAACCGUUCUCAGUUCGGAUUGUAGGCUGCAACUCGCCUAC